rnacentral:ncRNA from 1 species
AGGAGCCGGAUGAAGCGAGAGUUUCACGUCCGGAUCGGAGGGAGCCGGGAGGGGAAGUUCCUCCCGGCUACCCGAC